rnacentral:lncRNA from 1 species
AAUCACAUCACCUCUGAACACUCUUGUGAUGUCUCAUACAUGAGCUUUUGGGGACAACUCAUAUCCUAACCAUUUCACAUGGCAUGCAGAAUUAAGAAACCAGUCCCCAUCUCAAAGUGCUUUCAUUUCUUUCUCCUCCCAGCUACAGGUUCCUAUGACACAAAAGUGCCCUGUCAGAAUACAUGCUCCUUGGAAUAUUUGCAAAAUAGGGUGAUGGAGGAAGAACAUCUGGGCCUCAGCUGCCAUAAAGCACGAGAGUCUGGAAAGCCCAUCAUAGUUGCAGGUUGCCACCCUCUUCUAUGCCCUUUCUGGUACCAUGUUGCUACUGAGAUCUUCCUCAUCUCCUCUCGGGAUCUUCAAAACCAUGCCCCUCAUGCAGAAUCAGACUACAUUUUCAUCUUUGACAGAGCCAAAGGACCCCAGUAGAGAAAAGGAUCCUGCUGAUUUGGAGCAGAUGCCUGAGACUGAAGUGCCCAGAAUGUGAUGAAAAAGGGAAAAUUUGGGGCUGGGGAUGUGGCUCAAGCGGUAGCGCGCUCGCCUGGCAUGCAUGCGGCCCGGGUUCGAUACUCAGCACCACAUACCAACAAAGAUGUUGUGUCCGCCGAAAACUAAAAAAUAAAUAUUAAAAAUUCUCUCUCUCUCUCUCUCUCCUCUCUCACUCUCUCUUUAAAAAAAAAAGAAAAAAGAAAAAAAUAAAAAUAAAUAAAAAUAAAAAGGGGAAAUUUGGGAAUGAGGAUGAUCUGAGGAAUAACAGAACAUAGAGGUCGAAUUGGGACAUAGGGCCAACCAGAAACCUAGACAGUGAGAGCUCAUGCCUUGAACUAGACAAAAAGUACAUCAUCCCAUACACUCCAGUGUUUUACAUACAUGGUGUCGUGUUAUGUACAUAUACCAUUAUAACCACAAUCUAGAUCAGUUGAUAGCUAAUGAAACACCCACAGAUGUCCAUGAACCCAGCUCACAUCAGCAGAACCACCUCACCAAGUAUCCCACGUGCAACAGCAAUAAAUGCUCAGGACCACACACUUCUGCAGCUUUGCAACUGUUAUGCAGCAUUUUUGUGUGUGUGUGUGUGGCCAUAGAUAACUGAUAUACCUACCUUCCAAGCCAAGGACUGAGGUGACAAAUUGAAAUGCCAACAGGGAAAGGCAGGCAAUGUAAUCCAGUGAAGAGGCAGAGUGGAGUCUUUAUUGCACUGGAAAAACACAUGCCCAAACUCAGUUCCAACCAUAUGCCAUAUGGAAAUGUUGGUUCAAUGCUGCCAAAUUAAUUUUUCAAGAGAGAUGGAAAUCCCAGUUUUUAUAUGAAGUGUAUUGUACAUGUUGUCCUUACAUUUUUUAAUUUUCUUUGGAAAGUUGGGCAAUAAUAAAAGAAAUACAAAUUAAAACUACAUUGGGAUGCAAUUUCUCACCCAUCCAAAGAUUAGAAGAAUCCAGAUGUUCAACAGUAUAUUCUGUUGGUGAAGCUGGAAAAAAAAAAAAUAGUGCACUGUUGUGUUCACUGCUAGAAGGAAUGAAAAAUGGUAUAAUCCUUGUGAAGGAGAAUUUGAAGGUAUCUAGUAAAAUUACAUAUUCAUUAGUCUUUUAACUCAAUGAUCAUACUUGUAGGAAGUGACCCUAAAUAUGUACUGGUAAAACCUCGAAGGAGAUAUAUGUACAAGGUCCCUAGUUGCAGCACUAAUUAUUAUGACAGCUAAGACAGAAUCCAAGUGUCACAAUUGGGACUGGUUAAAUGAAUUAUGAUACGUUCACAUGAAAGAGCUCUAUACAACUAUGGUAAGGAAUGUAGCUAGGAGUGGUGGUGUAGAUUAAUCCCAGCUACUCCGAAGGCUGAGAUGGAAAGAUCUCAAGUUCAAGGGCAGCAAUUUAGUGAUAUCCUGCCCUGAAAUACAAUAAAAAGGGUUGGGAAUAUAGCUCAGUUGUAGAGUGCUUGCCUAAUAUACAUGAAGCCCUGGGUUUGAUGUCAUUACUGCAAAUCAUAAUAAUAACAACAAGGAAGAAAGAAUAUCUCCAUCUUCUAUGGAGCAAUAUCCAAGCACCAUUGCUAAAAUGAUUUUUAAAAUACAGCACAUGUUAAUGGGAUUGGUAAAUUAGUACAACUCUAUGGAAAUCCGUAGGAGGUUCCUCAAAAGACUAGUCAUGGAAUCACCAUAUGAUCCAGCUAUCCCACUUUUUGUAUUUAUCCUGAAGAAUUAAAGGCUUCUUACUACAGUGAUACAUGCCUACCCAUGUUUAUAGCAGCACAAUUCAUAGCAGCCAAACUACAGAACUGGCCGAGGUGUCAUUCAUUAUUAAAUGACUGUGUAAUUUUACAAAAGAUGAAUUGAUAAAGAAAAUGUGGUAUGUAUACACAAUGGAGUUUUAUUUAGCCAUAAAGAAAAAUUAUGUUAUUUUCAGGAAUAUGGAUUGAACUUGAGACCAUCAUGUUAAGCAAAAUAAGUCAAAUUCAGAGGAACAAAAGUUGUAUGUUUCUUCUCAUAUAUAGAAGCUAGAGAGGAAAAAAGAAAAGAAAUGUGGAGAGAGAGUCUCCAUGAAAAUCAAAUGGAGAGUAAAGGGAUUGGGAGAGGGAGGAGGAGAAGGAAAAGGAAAAUAUUGGGAAAUUAUAUUGACCAAAUUAUAUUGUUAUAUUAUGUGCAUGUAUGAAUACGCAACAACAUACCCCUCCAUUAUGUACAAGUAUAAUGCACCAAUAAAAA